rnacentral:rRNA from 1 species
CCCUUAGAUGUUCUGGGCCGCACGCGUGCUACACUGGUACAAUCACUAAGUUUCUGAGUAGUUAUGCUUGGGCAAUCUUGAAAACUGUACCGUGACGGGGCUUGACUGUUGAAAUUUUCUGUCACUAACGAGGAAUUCCUAGUAAAUGUGGGUCAUGAACUCACGUUGAUUACGUCCCUGCCCUUUGUACACACCGCCCGUCGCACCUACCGAUUGGAUGGUCCGGUGAAGCCUCGGGAUUGUGGUUCUUGCCGCUUUAUUGUGGCGUGACCGCGAGAACUUGUCUAAACCUUAUCAUCUAGAGGAAGGUGAAGUCGUAACA